AUCGCUUCUCGGCUCUCUGAGCUAAGAUCAUGUGUAGCAUCUGUUCUUUGCAGUGUAAUUUCUGCAACGCUCUCUAAGCUGAGACCAAUGAAAUUACCUGUAUUUAUAAAGUAUGCGUCGGUGGCACACUGGUUAGGACUCUCGCCGACCAUGAACAUGGUCCGAGGUUCGAUCUCCN
rnacentral:snRNA from 1 species